CCUUUCUCAGCUCCUCCUGAUCACAUGGGCCCAGCAUAUGCUUAGAAUGUUUCCAAGGAGAGAAAGGAAGGCUCUCCUAAUGCACAACAGACUUGUCCACCAUGGCUUUCUAUUCCUAGGAGUACAACAUCU